rnacentral:lncRNA from 1 species
CACACACACACACUACAGCACUACAUACAUUACGCUCCAGAUACACGCUAGAUCCCUUACCUUAUAUGCACUCUUAAUCCUCUAUACACACACACACACAAUCUCCUAUACACACUCUGGGUCCUUUACACACUAGAUCUCCUACACACACACUGCACCACCUACACACACACUACAUUCCUUGUCAGCAAACACAUACAACAUUCUCUAAACACACCCUCUCUACAACCCCUACACACACUACGUCACCUAUACACACACACUACAGCCCGUAUGCACACAUUCGCUACAUCCCCUAUAACACUAUGCCACCUAUACACACACUCUCUACAGCCCCUAGCCACACAUAUUACACCAC